CUUUUUUUCUUUAACAAAUGAUUUAAAACAAAAACAAAAACAAAAAUAGUAAAUCACACUCUC
rnacentral:ribozyme from 12 species